rnacentral:sRNA from 1 species
AAAAAAACCCACCACCCCCUCACUGCCUCAGUCACCGCCACCACUGCUAGCGGGCCCAAAGAAACAGCUCGCUGCCUUUAAUUUGGGGACCUAUGUUAAUGAAGUUGGUAAUUAAUUCGUCGCUUUGUUGUCGGUUCUUAUACUGUAUGUGUAAUCAAAUGUGGCCGUCCUUGGGAUUUACAGCAAUUAGCGAAUUACGGGAGUGCGCACGAGGCUGCAAGUUCUCCGCAGCCCGGCUGGGCUCGGCUCCGGCUCGGCCUAAGGCUGGGCACUCCGCUGCCGCAGCUGACUUGCAGGUGUGUUCUAAGAGCGUGAGGUCCUGGAGGCUCCACGAACCCUGGAGCGCCUCCGGGCUUGCCCAGAUCUUCCUGGCUCCUCUGUAGCUGCUCCAGUCCGAAGAAAACCCCUGGCUGUCGCGUUCCCUGGAGCCACGACUUUGUGGGGCCUAGGCUUGGGGGGAGGGUGAGUACGGACCUUUCCUUGUUACCCCGCCCCCACCGUGCAGAAACACCUGGCGACUGUCCCCAAGGCCUUUCAUUUAGGAGAGGUAAACAAAUGUCCCAGGCAGUUGUCCCCCGUGGCCCGGGCUGUGGGAAGCAGGUCCUGGCUCUUGGUCCGAGCCAUCGUGCUUUGUACGUUGGAAGGGCAAAUCCACGCGAAUCUCUCGAAAAAGAGGCGAUUUCCCACCCCGAGAAAAGAAUUCUCCCCAGUUUGAUCAUAAUGAUGUUGAAAGCAUCAAAGAGCUAAAAAGAAAAAAAAAAAAAAGACCAUUAUGGAUGUAGUAAAGCAAGGCCUUGGGGACAGUGAGGGUGGGGUGCGGUAAAGAAAUAGAGCGAGAGCUUGUGAGUCACUCGAAGUAAGUGAAAAAAAUCGGAGAGAAAGCGAUCCAUCUGCAGUAGAGUCCAGAGACGUUAGGAACCUCUCAACUUCCAGGCAAAGGUUUGAGAUGUAGUCCUGAGAAGACCCAGAGCAGCCAAACCUCCCAGAAAAUUCCGGAGUGCUAUAGACAGUGGAGGAUUUCUGUUAGAUACAGCGUGGGAGGGCUUUCCCCUUCAGCGGCUGGCAGCACACAAGCCCCCGCUUCUCCUUUGCCCUCUAGUCUAAUAACUUCGCAGAAAUACAGGGCCAAUAAACCACCAGUUGGAAAUGGACAGUGUUAAAUAAACAAGGGUCUCUUUAAAAUUCUCAUCCACUUCAGAUGUCUAAAGUAAGAUCGUGAUGAUUUUGUCACGGUUUGGUAAAUUUACCCCUUUAAGAGGCUUUUCAUAAAUCCCAGAACACACCUUCAGCCAGAUUUGAAUAUAGAUUUAGGUUUUAAAACCCAGAAGCUGGAAACACCACUUUAUCAAAGAGAAUUUCCCUUUAGCUUAGCAAUAUGCUGCAGCUCUCAAAAGAUUGGAUCUGAAAGAAAGAGACGGAGGAGAAUGAGAGCCAGAGACAGAGAUGCAGACAAGGGAGGGAAGGGGAAAAAAGACUUUUCUUUUCUUUUCUUUUUUUUCUUUCUAGAGGAAUUCUGCCCAGACUCUCCAGCAGUUGGUAGCAGGCAGGCUUUCUCCUGUGUCGCCUGGAAAAGUUGCAAAAUUGCUCUUCACCUGUAAGAACAUGCUUUUUUAUCUUCCAGUCUCUUCUUGUCAAUUUGGAAAUUGCAGACAGCCCGGCUCAGGCAUUAAGAGAAAUUGAUUAGUGACAAGGAAGAGAAGAAAACAUUGCUGGUCAGUAGGCCACGGUGAGUCAUGGGCAUCUUCUGUACCUCAGGUAUUCAAGUCCCUCAGAUAAAUGGCUCCUGGGAGGAGAGAACACAUCCAAUGUAAUCCUGACGUAUGCAGAAUUGAGUUCGGUUUGAACCCAGCCAUCAAGGGAUGAAAGCAUUAGGGCCAGAACUCAGGGCCACCAUCUACCAACCAGCUCCACGAUGUGUCCAGCCAUGGAAGAACCCGGUGGCCAAGCGUGAUUAUGCAACCGGUGGGCAGUGACUGAGGACAUGGUGUCCUUGGGAGCAGAGCUCCAUCCCGGGGAAAGGAAAGAGGGUUGAAGAAACCAUCCAAGAUGGGCCCAAACAACAGAAGAUUUCAUUUCCUUCUUUGUGCACUCACUUAACGUUACGCAGUUUAUUAAAAAGUACGUACGUGUGUACAUAUAUUUUAAAAGCCCCACCCUUAACCUCUCUGGGGGUCUUCAUGAGUUUCUGUUGCGCUUUACAAAAGAUCUGUACGGAGGAAGGGAUCGGACAACCUUGCCUUAUAUGUGUGGUCCACACCAGUAAUUGCCCCGUCCCUUCCUGAGGCCCUUAUUCCUAUGUAAAUACCCUUGCAUAAUGUUACAGGCUAUUGUUAGGCCAGCGCCAGCCAGUCGCACUUAGAUGCAUUUUUACUUCAAUCCGCUGCUCGGAGAAUGAAAAGAUGUCUGGACUUAAGCUGUUUACCAACUGGGCCGAGCUGCGGAGCAGCAAGACCGAAGAAAGCCCAAGCAUCUGCAGGAACAGGCUUUCACAAUGUGAGCAACCAUUUUCGGCGGAAUUAUUAACCCGCUCUGAAACUCUUCUAAGCUGGGCCUUUUUGAAAGAACAAAUGUGCUGAGUCGAACAUGAAUGAGCCAGGACUAUGAGGGGAGAAGCCCUCUAAAGCACUAUUGAACACAACAUAGGUUUGUGGUCAUGUUGUCCCAGUUGCCCGCUCCCAGCGCGCCAAGGAGGGUGAUGGGGCUGGCUCAUUUGUGGCGAUCGCCUGGCAAUUAAACACUAGCGCGGUACAGUAAAAAGAAAACGGCCAGGCAAGCACCACGCACUCAGAGUCAGAAAACAGUGUGAGGAGAUGAAAGGGCUGAGCUAAUAGCUCACCACUAGGACCUGACAUGCGUUUGCUUGCUAAAUAACACAGCGAUCUUUAAAGUAAAACACGGGAGGAAAAGCUUCCCAGAUCCAAAUCUCUCCCGCUCUGCCUCGUGUGGCCUCCUGGUAUUGAUACUGGGCUGAGACGUUUUUACUUUCUAGCUGUAGAGCUUCCCUGAAAUGCUACAUGAAAAUAGAGGUGUAAAAGUCUACCAGGAGGAACUAACUGGCUAGUAGAGGGAAGUUGCAGGCGGAGGACGCCCUAUUUACCUCAUGGUGGCACAGUGUGAGGAGGGUGGUAUCAGCCUACAGAAAGUCGAGUUCAUUUGCAUGCUUAUAAGAACCCAAUGAGUGCCUAAUAAGUGCUUAUAUAUGACAGGGGGAGCAUCUCUUUCCUUACUUAGUGCCACGAGAAAGAUAGAAUCCCCUCCCCCAGGUUUGGGGAAGCAGGCGAGUUAAUUAUCAUCACAAUGCGAUCAAGUACCCCAGUCAUUGAUGAAAACCAUUUCUAUUAACCACACAGCCUUGCCUCUGCGGGUCAGCGGCAGCACCUCAACCUUGCCUGGCCGCAGUACUGAUAACUUUUCCCGGAGAAAAACGCCCAUAACACCGCGCAUCUAAUUAAAUACUCAGAGAGGCAGAGAAGAAAAUACCGGCACACAGAACUCACACCAGUGAGUCCUGCCUUUGGCUGCUGGAGGCUUCCAUAUGCUGCUGUUGUUUACUCUGGAAGGAAACUGAGUCAUUUAACAUUUCAAUAGGUUAAUCAAUUGGCAAUUAAAUGGAGAAAUUGGUUAACUCUGAAAACAAUUAACACGACACUUCAUUAAGUACAGUUUCUAAUUGCUGCAGCUGUGAGUGGAAGUUAAUGAGUUUGUUAAAGCCCCCGACUGGGGUAGCACUGUGUGUGUCUAUGCACGUGCAUGAGGUGUGUGUGUGUGUGUGUGUGUGUGUGUGUGUGUGUGUGUGUAUG